GACAGAGGCCUCGAGCGUUAGGCGGAAUCACUGGGCUUAAAGCGUGUGUAGGCGGAUCGUUAAGUGUCUUGUGAAAUCCCCCGGCUCAACCGGGGAACUGCUGGGCAUACUGGCGAUCUUGGGCCAUUCAGGGGCGACUGGAACAAGCGGUGGAGCGGUGAAAUGCGUAGAUAUCGCUUGGAACGCCGAAGGUGAAAACAGGUCGCUGGGGAUGUGCCGACGCUGAGACACGAAAGCCAGGGGAGCGAACGGG
rnacentral:rRNA from 1 species